rnacentral:rRNA from 1 species
UGAGGAAUAUUGGACAAUGGGCGAAAGCCUGAUCCAGCAAUGCCGCGUGAACGAUAAAGGCCUUAGGGUUGUAAAGUUCUUUUAGCAGGGAAGAUAAUGACGGUACCUGCAGAAAAAGCCCCGGCUAACUCCGUGCCAGCAGCCGCGGUAAGACGGAGGGGGCUAGCGUUGUUCGGAAUUACUGGGCGUAAAGAGCGCGUAGGCGGUUUAGUAAGUUGGGAGUGAAAGCCUAGGGCUUAACCUUAGAAUUGCUUCCAAAACUGCUAAACUAGAGUGUGAUAGGGGGUGAUGGAAUUCCUAGUGUAGAGGUGAAAUUCUUAGAUAUUAGGAGGAACACCGGUGGCGAAGGCGGUCACCUGGGUCACAACUGACGCUGAUGCGCGAAAGCGUGGGGAGCAAA